UGUUACAUCAACAUGGACUUUAUUUAUUUCCCAAUCAACACCGUUUCACAUUUUAUACAAAAUCAUGAAUCAUUAGAAAACGUCUGAUCAUGUGACCCCGUCCGUCCAGCCGCUCCGCCUCACCCCAGAGGAUCAUGGGAAGGCAUGUGUCUGACGAGACCCAGUGGACAUGCCCCGCCUUGAUGAUGUCACUACCUGUAGUUUCUGACCAAUCAAAUCAGACAUCACCUCCAGGAAUGUAGGCCUCUAUUGGCUAAACAUCACUCACCCCUAACUACAUCCCUGGUUACACCAUAGAGUUAGAUAGAGGAAUCAUCUUUGUAUCUGUGCCAUUAGAGUCUGUGACAGCACCAUUGAAGUUACAACCCAUUGUAAUCCCCACCCAGUUGACUACUUUAAAAUGGUGGAUGAUGGCAAUGUCCAUGGUAAAACAGGUGAUAUACAUGAUGAGUCCUCUAUCUCUAUGGAUUAAAUUCCUCGCCCAAUCAGACACUGGUCUGACUGAUCUGUCAAUCAAUUUCAUCUGCCAAUGUCUGAAGGCCUCAGCGAGAAGGGGCAAGGCUUGUCCACUGAGCCUUCAUCUGAUUGGGUAGCCAGUGAGCGACUGGGAAGCUAACGUAUGCUAAUGUACAUGCCCAGCACACACAUUUACAGCUCAGCCCACCCACCCACACACACACACACACACACUUCAGAGGUCCUUGUUAGAGCGUUGCGUAGCGUUCUGGUCUUGGCACAUGUACAUGCAAAGCUAAAGAGUCACCUGCACAGGCGGACAGAGGGAGGGAGGGAGGGAGACAGAGGGGGGAGGGAGGGAGACAGAGGAGGGAGAAACAUGUAUACAUCCACAGACAGACAGAGGCGCUGUUGAACGCUGAGAGUUUUUAAUCCCACCCUCCAUGUUACAUGUUCCUAGCAGCACCAGAGGGGCUCUCUGAUUGGUUGCUGUAGCUGUCAGUCAGUCCGUCUCCAGGAUGAGUGGCGGCUGCUCUUCAUUCUCAUCGUCCAAUCGCAGAUCGCUGAGGUCAUCCUCUAGUCCCGCCCCUCCCACGGCACCCGCCUCCUCACAGUAACCUGAGGAGAGGACAUGGGUUAGAGGUCAGGAGUCAGGGUAUCCCACCAGACCAAGUGGGGGGAUACCCUGCUGCUACCAGACCAAGUGGAGGGAUACCCUGCUGCUACCCAGUGGAGGGAUACCCUGCUGCUACCCAGUGG
ensembl:lncRNA